GGGGGUGAUUUGGUUUCGACGGGACGAGUGGAGACCAGAUUGCGCGCCGAGGACCCCUGUUGGCCUCGUUAAAAAACAGGGAAAAAAAGUAAUUGCGAACAACGAUUACGCUCUGGCGGCCUAACUAAUCGGCCACCGGCCAACCCGCGGACGCCUGCUAGGCGGCGAGGCCUCAUCCAGCAGGUCCCCGUGCGGGGUUUGACGUCUGGACGCCGCACGCUGUACAAUCGGACGCAUGUCGCCGGAUAAGCCCGGGCAUCGGCAUACCGGCGACGAGAUCAAAGGUGCAAUACGCGCGUAGAAGUUUGGCCAAAGCCGUUUCGGACGCGGGUUCGACUCCCGCCACCUCCACCA
rnacentral:tmRNA from 1 species